GAUGAACGCUAGCGGGAGGCCUAACACAUGCAAGCCGAGCGGGAUUUGUUGGUUAGCUUGCUAACUAACAAUGAGAGCGGCGUACGGGUGCGUAGCACGUGUGCAACCUGCCUUUAUCUGGGGGAUAGCCUUUCGAAAGGAAGAUUAAUACCCCAUAACAUAUUGAUUGGCAUCAGUUAAUAUUGAAAGCUCCGGCGGAUAGAGAUGGGCACGCGUAAGAUUAGCUAGUUGGUGAGGUAACGGCUCACCAAGGCUGCGAUCUUUAGGGGGCCUGAGAGGGGGAUCCCCCACACUGGUACUGAGACACGGACCAGACUCCUACGGGAGGCAGCAGUGAGGAAUAUUGGACAAUGGGGGAGAGCCUGAUCCAGCCAUCCCGCGUGAAGGACUAAGGACCUAUGGUUUGUAAACUUCUUUUAUACAGGGAUAAACCUACUCUCGUGAGGGUAGCUGAAGGUACUGUAUGAAUAAGCACCGGCUAACUCCGUG
rnacentral:rRNA from 1 species